rnacentral:rRNA from 1 species
CUCGUAGGCGGUUCGUCGCGUCCGGUGUGAAAGUCCAUCGCUUAACGGUGGAUCUGCGCCGGGUACGGGCGGGCUGGAGUGUGGUAGGGGAGACUGGAAUUCCCGGUGUAACGGUGGAAUGUGUAGAUAUCGGGAAGAACACCAAUGGCGAAGGCAGGUCUCUGGGCCGUUACUGACGCUGAGGAGCGAAAGCGUGGGGAGCGAACA